rnacentral:rRNA from 1 species
AUUGAACGCUGGCGGCAUGCUUUGCACAUGCAAGUCGAACGGUAACAGGGUGCUUGCACCGCUGACGAGUGGCGAACGGGUGAGUAAUGCGUCGGAACGUGCCGAGUAGUGGGGGAUAACGCAGCGAAAGUUGUGCUAAUACCGCAUACGUACUGAGGUAGAAAGUGGGGGACCUUCGGGCCUCACGCUAUUCGAGCGGCCGACGUCUGAUUAGCUAGUAGGUGAGGUAAAGGCUCACCUAGGCGACGAUCAGUAGCGGGUCUGAGAGGAUGGUCCGCCACAGUGGGACUGAGACACGGCCCAGACUCCUACGGGAGGCAGCAGUGGGGAAUUUUGGACAAUGGGCGAAAGCCUGAUCCAGCCAUGCCGCGUGUCUGAAGAAGGCCUUCGGGUUGUAAAGGACUUUUGUCAGGGAGGAAAUCCCUAGUGCUAAUAACACUGGGGGAUGACAGUACCUGAAGAAUAAGCACCGGCUAACUACGUGCCAGCCGCCGCAGUAACAC